UACGUAGGGUGCUAGCGUUGUUCGGAAUUAUUGGGCGUAAAGCGCGUGUAGGUGGUUAGAUAAGUUGGAUGUGAAAGCCCUUGGCUCAACCGAGGAAGUGCAUCCAAAACUGUCUAGCUAGAGGACGAGAGAGGGAGGUGGAAUUCCUAGUGUAGAGGUGAAAUUCGUAGAUAUUAGGAGGAAUACCAGUGGCGAAGGCGGCCUCCUGGAUCGACCCUGACACUGAGACGCGAAAGCGUGGGGAGCAAACAGGAUUAGAUACCCCCGUA
rnacentral:rRNA from 1 species